rnacentral:tRNA from 1 species
GAGAGGUGGCAGAGUGGUUGAAUGCGGCGGUCUCGAAAACCGUUUGGCCUUUUCAGGUCACGGGGGUUCGAAUCCCCCCCUCUCC